rnacentral:lncRNA from 1 species
UUUGAAUACUCUUAUGUAACUGAGGGAGCUAACAAACUUAGUUAUUGUAGUCUAUUUAUGAUGUCCGAGGAAGAUGAUGGAAUUGUAAUAGUUGGUUGAGUCUGUUUUAGGUCUGUUUUUCAAGCCUUUGGUUGGGGAGUGACUUUUGAAGUCAAUGACAAUGCCAGGUUUAAGAAGAUUUCUGGAGGCAUGUGUUUAGGGAAUGGCGUGGAUGAGACAAAGACUCGAUUUAUAGACUGCCCCACACAACUGCUGUGUCCUGAGCACCAACAGUGUGAAAGGAGUACGCGGCCGUCAACCCCUGUGAAGGACCAUCCCUUUCAAGAGCAAUGUGAAUACAGUGCCCAGCCACGGAAAGGGGAGUCACAAAUGAAAACAAAAGACAUACAUUCAAAAGACGACCUGUACCCUGAUUUUCUUAUGAAAUGCUUAAUGAAAAGAUGCUCAAACACCUCCAUGGAUUUGUGGAUUCUGAAGUAGGAAGGCAGCAGGAACAGAAGCCCAUGGGCUGUCUUCACUGACCUUAAUUGUUUGGGUUUCGAGUUUAGCAGCUAAAUGGUCCUGCCUGGAGAAUGUGCUUUGUUUCACGCUGAUGUUUGAAGAAAUUCCCUGGUUUGUAUCAGUCAUACAUCAUGUCAGGCACAAGAUCUUCUGGGUUUAUACAUAUCAAAAUGGCAGAAGUUUCUUCUGUUUCUUGUGAGGAGCCGCACUCAACAUUCGCCAUUACAAGAUGGAGCUGACAUCCGCUGCCGGAUCAAGUAAUCAACGUUGGUGCGCAUGUGCCCAGUGUUUUUCCACUUGCCUAGCCUUGCCUCUCCCGUGGCGUCAUAGGGUGAUGAGUCAUCCACCUAUCCCAGCUGUGCACGCACUGCUUGGAGCUUAUGAGCCUUUAUAAGUAGACAGGAUUCUUGGCUCGGGGUCUCUCUAAUCAGAAGCUGAUCAUCUG